rnacentral:rRNA from 1 species
CCUACGGGAGGCAGCAGUGGGGAAUCUUGCGCAAUGGGCGAAAGCCUGACGCAGCCAUGCCGCGUGAAUGAUGAAGGUCUUAGGAUUGUAAAAUUCUUUCAGUAGGGACGAUAAUGACGGUACCUACAGAAGAAGCCCCGGCUAACUUCGUGCCAGCAGCCGCGGUAAUACGAAGGGGGCUAGCGUUGCUCGGAAUUACUGGGCGUAAAGGGAGCGUAGGCGGGUUAUCAAGUUGGAGGUGAAAGCCCAGGGCUCAACCUUGGAAUUGCCUUCAAAACUGAUAGCCUAGAGUAUGAUAGAGGUAUGUGGAACUCCGAGUGUAGAGGUGAAAUUCGUAGAUAUUCGGAAGAACACCAGUGGCGAAGGCGACAUACUGGGUCAUGACUGACGCUGAGGCUCGAAAGCGUGGGGAGCAAACAGGAUUAGAUACCCUGGUAGUCCACGCUGUAAACGAUGAUUGCUAGUUGUCGGACGGCAUGCCGUUCGGUGACGCAGCUACGCAUAAGACACUCCGCCGUCGGGAGGUACGGUCGCGAAGAAUUAAACGUUAAAACGGUAAAGUUAGUACGGCGUGAGACGUGCCGACGGACGACGACGAGGGAGGUAGG